rnacentral:rRNA from 1 species
GUGGGGAAUCUUCCGCAAUGGACGAAAGUCUGACGGAGCAACGCCGCGUGAGUGAAGAAGGUUUUCGGAUCGUAAAGCUCUUUCGUUAGGGACGAACGUUCUCUUUGUGAAUAAUGAGGAGUAAUGACGGUACCUAAAUAGGAAGCCACGGCUAACUACGUGCCAGCAGCCGCGGUAAUACGUAGGUGGCAAGCGUUGUCCGGAAUUAUUGGGCGUAAAGCGCGCGCAGGCGGGAUAUCAAGUCUGUAUUAAAAGUGCGGGGCUCAACCUCGUGAGGGGACAGAAACUGGUAUUCUUGAGUGUCGGAGAGGUAAGUGGAAUUCCAAGUGUAGCGGUGAAAUGCGUAGAGAUUUGGAAGAACACCAGUGGCGAAGGCGACUUUCUGGACGAUGUCUGACGCUGAGGCGCGAAAGCUAGGGGAGCGAACGGGAUUAGAAACCCUGGUAGUCC